GCCAGCAUGGUGCAGUGGUCUGAGCACUAGAUAAUGACUCUGGAGACCAGGGUUCAAAUCCCUGCUUGGCC